GUGAGGAAUAUUGGACAAUGGGCGCAAGCCUGAUCCAGCCAUGCCGCGUGCAGGAAGACGCAUCUAUGGUGUGUAAACUACUUUUGUACGGGAAGAAACACUCCCUCGUGAGGGAGCUUGACGGUACCGUAAGAAUAAGGAUCGGCUAACUCCGUGCCAGCAGCCGCGGUAAUACGGAGGAUCCAAGCGUUAUCCGGAAUCAUUGGGUUUAAAGGGUCCGUAGGCGGUUUAAUAAGUCAGUGGUGAAAGCCCAUCGCUCAACGAUGGAACGGCCAUUGAUACUGUUAGACUUGAAUUACAAGGAAGUAACUAGAAUAUGUAGUGUAGCGGUGAAAUGCUUAGAUAUUACAUGGAAUACCAAUUGCGAAGGCAGGUUACUACUUGUGGAUUGACGCUGAUGGACGAAAGCGUGGGGAGCGAACAGGAUUAGAAACCCCGGUAGUCC
rnacentral:rRNA from 1 species